UCUUUCUUCCUCAUGGGUGAAAAAGGUAAGAGAGACAGUGCGCAUUAUUAGCCAAGCCCAAGUAAGUCCCCAACCCACCAUAGUCGGAGAAGGGAGCUUUGCUAGGUCUGUGUGUGAGAACCGCUCAUUCAAGAGAGAAAGGUUCGAUUUUGAGUUUACAAACGUGUUAGUCUCCAUUGAUUAGGUGAAACCCAGAAAUGGCUGCUCCACCAGCAAGGGCUAGAGCCGAUUACGAAUUUACGAUUACCUCAUAAAGCUUCUUUUGAUCGGUGACAGCGGCCUGUAACAGCCAUACCAUUACAUAUGUUCCACAUUGUAACAGCCAUGCCAUUCUAUGGAUACAUCUACUAUGAAUCCUGAGCAGAGGGCAUAUUAUUCCAAACUUCAGAUGAAAAUUCUCCAAGGUGAUAUAUGAAGUGUGAGGUUGUUGGUUUGUUGGUUUCCAUUUUAGUUUGUAUCAGUUUGAGGUUUUGUCCAGUGAUCAUGUAUUUGACUGCUUGCAAACCCUUUAAGAAUGACUAUGUUUCCUGCUAUUUGACUGCUAGAACUGUGCAGUUUCUGUUUCUGUUUUCAAUCCAUUUCAGUUUGUAUCAGUUUGUUGGUUUCCAGUGAUGUUGUAUUUGACUGCUAUCAAAUUCAAGCUGAUUCUGUUUCCUGCUA